ACGAAUCUACGGUGCUCGACUUACUGCCCGGAAUAGAACUGUAAACCCGUUCUUCAAAAGUGCUCAUGACAUGGAAAAAGCUACCCGGGGUCAAAUCGGGGGAAUUUUACUCGUCCGCAUUUGCGUUUCUCGACUGUGAAUAUUAACAUGGAAUCCUCCAAAAAGGAUAUAACCAUCAAUAGCGAACCGGAAAUGGAAUUCGAAGAGACUGUCGGACACAUCCGAGUCGACGAGAUCUGUGAGCUGCGGAAAUUAUAGUCGAUAUGACAAUAGAAAAGCGCAGAGAAACACUUCAUUCUCUAACCUUAUUCACAACGGGUCUAUUGGCACAGAGAAGUGUUAUUGUAUGCAAUUGCGGACAUCAACCGUACAUCGAAUCAAUCAUAAAGGAAAAUUUCAACUUGAUCAAACAAAAACGCAACCUAAAGGCCAAAUAUGAUGAUGCUUUAAAGAUAUGCAUGCAUCUUUCCGAUGCGCUAAAUAGCAAGCUUAUCGGAGAGCCUUGAGCAACGAUCUCUACUGAAGUAAAACAAAGAAAAACUUUAGAUGUUUUCCGAAGCCGGCAACAAAAGUGAUUAUAUUUUUGUCAAGCUGCUUAUGUUAGAGCUAUGGCAUGAUGGCCUCCAACACCGUUCGGUAACAGGCCGUACAUUGAACAAUUCGCCUGGGUCUGAAACGCCAGGAAAAUGUAUCAGAACCGUUUUAUCAACCAACGAACAAAUGAACCGCGCUUGAACUUGAGAAAGUGGAGUAUAUAGCUGAACGCCUUUUGGAACAUCGUUUGUUCAUGGGAGAUAGUCCGUCGACUGCAAAGAAAAAUGAGAUGAAUUCCAUCGGCCUAUGGCAAGAGCUAUUUCCUACUACUUCCGUCAUUUGGGGUAUUGUUUUCAGUCGAAUAACAAUUUGGGGAAUAUGGCGUUAGGUUAUGUUACAAUACAAAAACGACGAUUUUUAUUUGAACAUUUUUUGUGGACUUUUCAUGUACAUUACCAC